rnacentral:lncRNA from 1 species
GGAAGAAGAUUUUUCACCUAGUGGAGUCAUUGAACAGUGGUCUUCAAAUUGGGAUUAUUUCCAAGAAUUACUCAACUUUAAUGGAGCCUCAUAAGCAGAUAGACAUUCCUGUUGGCCAUUUAUGACAUCUAGAUGUUCUGUUUCUUCCUUCCAAAUAACCAAGGACCUCUUGUCUUAUUUGACUCCUCGGGACCUACUGCUUUCCACACUAAAACCAGUGCAGUUAGUUAACAUGCUGAUCUGAUCACCUAACAUGAUGAACUAGUGCCAAAUGUGGAUAUAACUGGAGGAGCUCGAGGUUUAAAAGGUAAGUAACAUUCCAGAAGAUACAUAGCUUAUAACUAGUGACAACUAGAGGAGGAAGGAGUCAGUUGCAGGCCUGU